UACGGAAGGCAGCAGUGGGGAAUAUUGCACAAUGGGCGAAAGCCUGAUGCAGCUAUGCCGCGUGUAUGAAGAAGGCCUUAGGGUUGUAAAGUACUUUCAUCGGGGAGGAAAAAACAAAACUAAUAAUUUUAUUUCUUGACGUUACCCGAAAAAGAAGCACCGGCUAACUCCGUGCCAGCAGCCGCGGUAAUACGGAGGGUGCUAGCGUUAAUCAGAAUUACUGGGCGUAAAGAGCACGUAGGUGGUUUUUUUAAGUUCAGAUGUGAAAUCCCUGGGCUUAACCUAGGAACUGCAUUUGAAACUGAAAUACUAGAGUAUCGUAGAGGGAGGUAGAAUUCAGGUGUAGCGGUGAAAUGCGUAGAUAUCUGGAGGAAUACCUGUGGCGAAAGCGGCCUCCUAAACGAAUACUGACACUGAAGGGUGCGAAAAGCGUGGGGAGCAAAACAGGGAUUAGAUACC
rnacentral:rRNA from 1 species